UGCCCCGCGGGACCGGGACCGGGCGGGUGAUGCCCGCGGGGCUGAGCUGCGCCCGGCCUGGGGUCCGCUCUGCUCCAGCUCAGGCGCGAGCAGCAGCUCCGAGGCCGUUCCUCGUCCGCGAGCGGUCCGGGCCCAGACGAUGACGUGGCAUCUGCUGGGCUUUGUUCUGUACGUUACCAAGGGUGCUGCUCUGCUGUGCUACGUGCUCCCAAAGAAACUGCCCCCAAAACAUCCACGUUCAUAGGAGCCUGAAGCUGCAAGGACAUUCAGUAACAACCUUCACCUCCCCACGAUAAUCCCAAUAGACCUUUUCCACAUUAAUGGAACACACCGCCGGGCAGUGAAUAGACCCUUCUCUUGAUCCGGGGAUAUAAGCUGAGCUCCAGGACAGCAUCUAGGGCACCGAGAAAGACCAGAAGAGAGUCACCGCUGCGAUGAGGAGGUCAGUGAUCUCUGCACCCAACGUGGGACUCGAACUCCCGACCCUGAGAUGGAGAGCCGCAUGUUCUUCUGACGGAGCCAGCCAGGCCCACCUGCCCACCCCGGUGCUUCUGGUGUCAGCCUCUUCCCUGGGAAGUGUUGGUGUUUCCGUGUGUCCGGGACCUCCCCUCUACAGCCCUGGAGUCCGAGGAGCAGGAGCCACUCAGCCUGCGGGGAAUGGCCAAGUGGGUAACGCAGGCCUUCCAAAACGUUGCUGCUGUUCUUUUUUCUUCUGUGCUUCACAUCCUUUUUCUAAAAAAAAAACAUGUAAAUUUUUGGUUAUAAUGUGGAGCUUUGAGAAGGAUCAGUAGAAGACACAAGGAAAUGAUGCUCCAUCAUCUCUGAACUCUUCCAACAUUUGUUUACACCACAUUACAGCUCUGAUCGCACUUUGUAAAGUGAAUUAUCUUCACCAUGUCUGUUCCUAGUUGAAGGAGAGCUUCUCCAAGGUUCAGGGACCUCUUCUAAUUUUGCAUCUCCUGCCUCUUGUGCAUUAGCAGGAAGUUGGAGCGCAUUGAAUAAUGUUGACUGAAGAAAGACUAAAUACUAAAUAUUUAACUAUAGAGAACCGACCUAAGGUUCCCACAGCAGAGGUGGUGGGGAGAAUAAGUGAGAUAAGUGAUGGAGAUUAAGGAGGGCACUUGUGGACCUGCUGCGAUGAGCACCGGGUGUUGUGUGGAAGUGCUGAGUCACCAUACUGUGCACCAGAAACCAGCAUCACACUGUGUAUUAACUAACUAGGACCGGAAAGGAAGAAAAAGAAUGAAUAUCCAGCCUCCCCAAAGAUAUCACUUGUAGGACUAGACAGUGGUCAUUUUUUAAAAAGUUGAUUGAUGGCAAUCGAUGUUGUCUGUGCCAAUAUAUAUGACAGUAAAUCAACUUCACUUUAUCGAAUUCAUUCAGUUCAGAUCAUUUGAAUAUUGGUGUGACUCACCAUGGCCGAUUCGGAUGUGACAGUCAUGAUUUAUUUUAUGGGUAGUAAAAAACAACUGGGUUAGAUGCUUCUAUGUGGAAUCUCAGUGAAAUAAUUUUAGGUGAGGAAGUAGUGGAUGGGGAAACAUUCUCUAGAUACGCUUCCCUCUUAUAAGGACUUUUGUGAUUAUAUUGGGCCCACCCUCACCCAGGAUAAUUUUCCCACUAUAAGAUCCUUAACUUACCCAUUUCAAAUUUCAAAAUACAGGUCUUGUGACUCUUUUGUGAAAUUUAUUCACAAAGAUGUAAUCCUUUUGAUGCUAUUGUGUAUGAUUUUCUUAAGGUCAUUUCUGGACUGUUUGUAUAAAUAUGUAAUAGAUUUGUGUAUACUGAUUUUACAUUCUGUGACCUUGCUAAACUCAUUUCUUUGUUCUAAUAAUUUUUGUUUGUUGUUUUUUUCCCUUAGGUUUUCAUUUUGUUUUUAAAGAUCUUUUCAUCUGUGAAUAAAGUCUGAUUUUUUUUUUUUUGGUAUUACUUC
rnacentral:lncRNA from 1 species